UUGAAGUCCAAAACACCAGGAAGACUAAUGAUUGGGAGCCACGUCUUCAAACUAAGCUAUGUCCAAGCCUCACUAUAUCUUAGCCUGAGUGAUCAGACUCAGUCACUUUUACUGUUUGAUGCGGUUCACUCUCAUCCUGGAUUUUAGAUUGCGACUCAGAUGGUUGCUCUUGGAGAUCUAUGGAUUCUGUAAAAAAAAAAAAAGACAAGCUAUUCAAGAUUACCCACAAAAUACUCUGAUGGAUGACACAUAACGCAGGCAUUUAUAAGAUCCACUUGAAGUCCUACAUAAGUAGUUUGAGGCUCCUGGAGGAUCUCUGAGCUUGUGAGGACCCUUCAAACCACGUGAAACCUUUGAUAACAGACUGGAAACCAUUGUAAGAUAAGAGGAGUAAUAGAGGGAAUCUGCUUCUCUCACACAGAUGGAUCAUCUCCACACAAUAAUAUUGAUACACAAUGUGAGGACAUAGCUGCACAUUAAAUAAUGUGGGAUUUGUCUUGUUAAGUACAGGUGGUGUCUGCUCUUCCUCCUUACAAUUUAAUUUGAUUACAGGAUGUCUAGCUUUUCAGGUCCUAAAUACAGGCCUUUCAACAUAAAACAGGAUCCCUAUUUAGACGUAUUACCUGUAACAAUGAAGCACAUAUUUAUGUUAAGAGAAAAAUAUGAAUAGCAUGUACAUAAUUCUUUUCCCCAGAAAGUUGUAUCACAUUGGGAGAAGACUUGAAAUCUAUGUACCUCUGAUGUAUAUAAUAUAAAUGGCUAAUUCAUCAGGUAUAGGUCAAGCUGACCAAAAUGUUCCAUCAGUCAUUGCUCGAUUAUGAAAGUAAAAUUUAGGAUUGAAAAAAAUAUUUUUAUAGCUCAAAAAGCAGUAUAUCAUCAAACAGGGAUUGGU